CACACCCUCCCCAUCAGCACCCAUCCAGUAUGGGAUAUGGCAUGCCUACACCCAUGCAGGGAGGACCACCUCCACCUGGAAUGCUUCCCCGCAGCAACCCUCGAAUCAGACUGUCAGCUCUGCACUCUCCACUGGCCCUGUCAUGUCAGUGGAUGAGGAACUCAUGGAAGAGAUGAACACUUUACAUCUGGGCUAUAUUGAGACCGAGGACUCCCCACACAAGCUUGAGCAACGAGAGAAGCUGGAAAGAGUAAUAAUGGAGUACUUAGCAAUCACACCCCAUUCUCAUAAGUUCAUGUUCCACCAAAUUUCUGAUGUUGGAGAGAAGUAUCAACAGCAUUAAUGACUUCAGUGCAUAUAAUGCUGCCUGUGCAUUUGAUGCCCUGGCCCAGUAUGCAGCAAAUUUGAUAGCGCAGCCAUGGAGAAAGGAGUUUCGAGAACUGAAGCUCUAUAGUGGCUUCUGGGUCAUCAAGUAGCACGUCACUUAGCUGGGGCUG